rnacentral:snoRNA from 11 species
UUGCUAUGAUGAUAUGCCAUGGUUUCGCAUAUUUUUGUCUGAAUUGUAACAAACAUGUUGUUAUGCCUUGGCUGACUGAGCAG